GAUGAACGCUAGCGACAGGCCUAACACAUGCAAGUCGAGGGGCAGCACAAGGUAGCAAUACUGAGGUGGCGACCGGCGCACGGGUGAGUAACGCGUAUGCAACCUACCUGUAUCAGGGGGAUAGCCUCUUGAAAGGGAGAUUAAUACCGCAUAAUACGAUUUUUGGGCAUCCAAUUAUCGUUAAACAUUUAUGGGAUACAGAUGGGCAUGCGUUUCAUUAGGUAGUUGGUGAGGUAACGGCUCACCAAGCCGACGAUGAAUAGGGGUUCUGAGAGGAAGGCCCCCCACACUGGUACUGAGACACGGACCAGACUCCUACGGGAGGCAGCAGUGAGGAAUAUUGGUCAAUGGACGCAAGUCUGAACCAGCCAAGUCGCGUGAAGGAUGAAGGUAUUAUGUAUUGUAAACUUCUUUUGUCGGGGAAUAAUGAUCGCCACGUGUGGUGAGAGGGAAUGUAUCCGACGAAUAAGCAUCGGCUAACUCCGUGCCAGCAGCCGCCGUAACAC
rnacentral:rRNA from 1 species